AGAGACUGAGACUAGAACUCUGAUUUUGGAGUCUUACAAUCAAUAAUUAAACAAUGCAAUAAAACACAAAGCAACAAUCAAACAGCCGGCCAGUCGAGCAGAAAAGGUUUAUACUUUUGAAUGCAGGAGAAAAGCAGAGAAUUUGAAAAAUAUUGUACAUUUUUUAGAUUUUUUUUCAUUUGCUGUUUUUUGAAAGUUAUAUUGGUCAUGAUGGAGCUUAAACCAGAACCGUAUAAACAGACGGUAAUGUAAGACUUUGCCAUGGUCUUUUCACUUAAACACAGAAAAAUGCAUGUAUAGGUUGGAGUUCAUUACCAGCCUGCCCCCUCCCCUCCAAAAACAAGAGCCAAAACUUAAACCAAAUGCUCAGUUUGAUUAUCCAAUUGUUUGGCUUUAAGGUGCAGCUGGCACGUCUUUCUGUGGGCCAUGUGAAACCCAGCUGAACGCCAGACCCUAAGAGCCAGACACAGCUCCCAUGCUUUCCAACGCCGAGCUACAGUACAUAAAUCAUACACUGUCAUACGUGUGAACUCCUGUGUGGAAGCAUCAGAUGGAGAACAACAACUCUUUCUGCAGGAAAUACCUGCACUCCUUAAUGUUACAUUGAUAGCGAGGAAACAACUCUCACUGCCCAUAUAUCAGAAACAGCUUUUGAACAUUUCUGGUUUUCAUCUCUUUUUAAUAUAAAAUCACUUCUAUUUGAGACUCUCCAAAAGCCAGCGUUUUCUCUGAUGUCUCAGGUAAGGAGGGAUGUGAAAGAAAAUAUUUUGCCAACUUCACAGGUUGUGUGAUAUAUUAAAUACCUGCACUGUCAUUUAGAAUUUGGUAAUGGAAGGCUUUAAGGGGAAAACUGUAUUUUUUUUUUUUAUUCCUUAAGUAACAAACCUAUCAGCAAUGUCCAGUGAAGGUUAAAAUAAUACUGCAUCAUAGAUCUGUCCCAUGUAUACAGGCUUUAAGAAGUGAUCUCCAUACCCUGCUGAAGCAAUUAACUAUUAGCACGAUAGUCGGGCUGUGGAAAGUGGGGUGACAGCAACAUGUGGUUGGCUGGAAGGUAGCAGUUCUUUUUUUCCUUCAGUUGUAGAUGGCAGCCUUGUCAGACAUUCACCUGGCUCCACAGCUUGUAUUAUAUUUAUGGCCUAGAAGAGAGCGCAAAGACUCUGGAAACACUGGAGCUAAAUAGCUACCUUCUUAGCACCCUGCCCGGUGCAAAGCUUCUCUGGCACCUCAUUAGGAAAACACUGCAGGGGAUUCAGGGAACAGGGACUGGGGUCAGGAGAAAGCAUUAAACCUUUGCAUGUAACUUUUCAUGUGACCGGGCUGGCGGUCCAGUGACUGUGGGCUCCAUUGGCAGGCAGUGGCUUGUGGAGACCUGGGAAUUAUUAUAUGGGAUUGGAAGAGAAUGCCAGCAAUGCACGCGGGGCUCGGGGGGAGGAUGAAAGGCAAACGCCACUCGAUGAAUGAAUUCAGAAAUAUGUGUGUAAUUUGUGAAUGGCUUUUUUUCCCUUCACUGAACCUGCACAUGAGUUUCUACAGCCACCAAUGAAAGCCUCAUGAUACUGUCACACAGUUGAGAAGAUCCGUUCUGAACCCCUCGGCUCUUCCAGUCCACCCACUGCUCCCCAGCGUCUGCCACUGCAUGGGCACAGGCCACACAGCCAUUCUGGGCGAACGAUGCUACCAGCAACAAAGAGAGUACUGGUUCAGCGUGGUGUGCCUGAAGGUCCUUCCCAAGGCACCAGAGAACCUCCUGAAUGCAGCCGCCCUUGGGAGCUCUUCUGGGAGUGGCAGCUCCCACUGGUGCUUGCAAUGCUGUGACGUUGUGGCACACCCAGGGCUGAGUGCACAGGGGAAAGUUGAGGCAAUCUGGACCAGGCAGCGCCAGAGCAGCCCAUCGGGGCCAGAGCUCAGGCAGUGCCACCUCCAUCAUUAACAUCGUGGUCGGGGCUCCACCUGCCUGGUGGGCAGCUCCCUGAGGUGGCUGCUGCAGUCAGACAGGGUGCGUGGGCAUGUGCUUCGAAAGCACAAACAGGAGGAGUAACUUGCUGCCUCCCCACAGUAUGUAAUUUUGGAAAGGUGGGAGCAGCGCAUUUGCCAAACAGAAACUGUCCCUGCAGCUCCUCACUUGGCAUGAUAGAACCAAUUUUUAUUAUCCUUUGGGGCUACGGCUGCAAACAAAAGAUGCUUUCAUUUCGCUUUGGCGGCAGCUCAGGUUGUGUGUGCUCUGUCCGCUUCCUUAAUUACAGUGGUUGUUGACAACUUCUGAGAGAGACCCUCUCUUUGAGCAGUCCUCCCAUUCCCCCACUCUUUUUUGCAGUUUGAACACAUGACAAACCAGAACGUCAUUCUGUAAAAAUAAGCUCACUGUAAUGCAGUGAUUCCCGCACUACAGUUACGCUGUGUUCCUCUCUUGUGUCCUCUCAGUUUGUGCUGCUGCUGUUAAUUUCCUCUUUCUGGCUAUAAGAACGUUUUAUUUAUUAGUGCUGGAUUUCCUGUUGCCUGCAGCUGCCUGUACUUUACCCUCUCCAGCUCAGUUUGCCGUUUGAGUCAGUCUGUAGGUUUGUUAUCCCACUGACUGAGAGGUACUCUCAGCAAGUUUGAUCAGUGGUUGUAUUAAGCAACACCUAACAGAGCAGGACUUGCACGGCAACCUGAGCAUACAAAACCCCCAAAGAAAACAAAAGAUGGUAUGGGGAGCUCUCACGGGCAUAGGAAGGGACCCUUUUUUAUGACCUGUUGAUGCAAAGAUUGUGCUUUCUCGGACUGCAGGAACUCCUUGGUUUGCUUGCAUGCACCACAGGGAGGAAGUCAGCUCGUUGAACUAUACACGGUCUGCAGGUCUGAUGGACGAGGACUCAGAGGUUUGCGACUAUUUAUAUUUGAGAUUGUGGGCCGUAUCACGCUGAAACAUCGUGCAGACUUUCCACAUGUGAGAUUCGUGAAUGACUUCCUUAACCUUUUGUGGACAUUCAGCAUCAUUGUAGUAAACGCAAAGGUUGCUUAUACGGAAAGUGAGAUAAUGAAGGGGAAAUAUGUUUUGCUGCUUUGAACAUGAUUUGUCUGCUGCAAGGAAGGAGGAGGUAUGAGCUCUUAAUGCUCUGUGUAUUAUUGGCAAGGCUAGUCGGAAAAGCUCACUCAUCUGCACUGGAGAGAAACACUUCAUCUAAUUCUCUAUUGUCUGAUUGGUACUAUUUCAAGUGGUAGAGAAUGAGGCUGAAGCAGCACCUAAUGGUAAUAUUCCCUCUCUUGUGUUUUACAGGGGUAGCACUAAUUUUAUCAUCAUUUCUUUCUACUUGAUAGGGAUUUGGGGCCUGAAAACUGAGCAAUGGGAGUUAGGGGUGAAGCAAACCCCAGGGCACGGAGGCAGCUGUGGCAUGUCUUACUGUGAUGGAGCUGCAACCCUGUCAGGAUGUGAUCCUUUCCACUGCUGUUUGCAGCGGGCUGUUGCUGGCGGAGAAGCACUGCAGGUGCAGCACCAUUAGACACUUUUUCCUUUGUGUCAGAUGUUUGAGAGCUGUCCAGAAACAUUAAAUAGGGAAGAAUCUUCUGACUUCUUCCAGGGAAAGGUGCUUCAGAAGAAGUGGUACCAAAGGACCAGCACUGGAGCCUCGUCACGGAAGGUAACAGUGUGCAGAGGCCAAAGGCACCAGUGCAGGGACAAAGGACAGACAGGAGGCAACUGCUGCACCGUGACCCGAUUUUUAUCCCAGUGUCUCUCAUCUACAAGGGCUGGAAUAGCUGGUGCACACUGAUCUGGUUUUGGGGGCUCACUGAUGUAAGUUCUGUUUGCACAGUGGAAAAGGUCUAAGUCUCGCUUACGCCAGCCACUGUCAAUACAUUUCCACCUUUUGCAUGUCUCAUUAUUGAUCAGUAUGGACAACAGGAAAAGAACUCAAAAACUUUAAAUCCAUAAAUUUGUUUCCUCUCCCUGACUUCAUGCACAUUGCUUUUUGCUCAGCCCUCUUGGGAACAAGUCUCUUCAAUUGCCCAUUAAUCCCCCUGGUAAAAACCUGACUCACACCACUGGAGAGGAACUGGCUGAUGGAUUAUCCCUCUCAUCUGAAGAUGGGAAAGAGAUGGCUGCAGUUGUAGUUAUAGGAUUCUGAUAAUAAGAAGCGGUAAGAAAUGCAGGUCACAUAGAGAAGGAUAAUGAAAUCACAUAUAUUCAGUACAGGACUAACCUAUUGGCUCAUUGUCCAAUUAUCUUGUCAGCCAAGUUCUCUCUUUGAUUAUAGCAUUUUUACUACAGUCCUGCCUGAAUAUUAUAUGGAAGCAAAUACAAAAAUGUUUGAGGUUGCUCGGGAUAGUACACCAACUCCACUGGCAGCAGUGGAGUCAGAACAUGCCCAAGGUGUACAGAGCAGUAACUUGCUCUGCCCUCUCCCCACCUCUCUCUCCUCCCCUGGAACUUUUCCUCAUGUUAAUCCCAUGGGAGAGCAGCUCUGAGUAGUCUCUCUGUUCCAAGGGGAAAAAACAAGGUUAUCUCAAGGUGUGAUGCUAGCAUGUUUUCACACUACCCCAGAAGGGGAAGUACAGCAAGCCUUGCAAAGGGAGGGAAUGUGUGUUGUCUGUGUUGUGAAGUGGAAAGCUGGCAUUCAGUGACCUGAGUCCUCUUGCAAUGCUGCCCAUGUGACUUCAUGCAAGGCACAACUUCUUUAGUCUCAUUAGCCCUGUCUUUAAACUGUAUUUAGUACUUGCUUCACAGGGCUGAGAAGAAGAGGAUUAAGCUUUAAUUCAUUAAUGUUUGUAAAACGUUUUAGAACUUGGAUGGAAAUUUCUCAGGUAGUGCAGAGAGCAUUAAAAAGCUUAUCUCCCUCUCAAACUGCAAACAGUCUGGUAAUACGAGAGAAAUGAGUGAAACAGUGCUUGCAUUUUGGUGUUUAUAAUAAUAAAAUAACCUACCCUCCAGCUUCCUCUCUCUAUCCUUACAUGUUUUGUAAAAAUAGAGGCAGCAAUGAGAAAUUUUAGUCUAAACAGAGUGCAGUUGCUCCCAGGAGACUUGAAUAAAUCUCAGUGGAAUUUUCCCUGCCUUCAGCCUUUUGUGCUUCUGAAAGGUCCUGGAACCAGCCAUGUGACUGUAAGAGCAAAAAACACUUCUGUGUCUGAGUGCUUUACCAAAUAUUUACAAGAUACCCUGAUAAAAUGGCUACAAGCAAGUUCAGUGGGGUUUGACUGAACGGCCACUAACGCAGCAUUGUCAAGGAAAAAACUAAUCCUCAGCUAAAACAAAAUUAAAAUUAAUUUUACAAAGGUCUCUUCAAAGCACAAAACUGGUAAUAUCGAUGCUGGGGAACUGGUGAACCCCAAGGUGAAAUGUAGUAGCUUUUAGAAGUAGCUUACUGAAAUGGAGUAGCUUCCUUGCUGUGAUGGAAACUUUCUUGCUGAAGUUGAGAGCCCAGAGCUUCGUGAGCAGGCAUGUAAGUAGAUAUCUGCAGAGUAGCCUUCUCCAUGCCAUCCUGUUUGGUGACUGGGAGUGACACAACAUCAGCUUCCACAUCCUAUCAGCUCCUCAAUCUCUUGCACUGCCACAGUAAGGGUGUGCAGUAGUUUUUAACAGUGUCCACGUUCUCCCUAGGAACUCUCUUGUCACUCAAAAACUGUCAGGCAAACAGCUGAUGGCGACCUGCUUGCCCCACUACCACAGGUGGCCUCACUGCGGCUGAUUUCCUUGCUGGGUCAUCUGCAGCCACUUAGGCAGUACUCCAGACCUCC